GACGAACGCUGGCGGCGUGCUUAACACAUGCAAGUCGUACGGUAAGGCCCUUUCGGGGGUACACGAGUGGCGAACGGGUGAGUAACACGUGAGUAACCUGCCCACAACUUUGGGAUAACGCUAGGAAACUGGUGCUAAUACUGGAUAUGUGCUCCUGCUGCAUGGUGGGGGUUGGAAAGCUCCGGCGGUUGUGGAUGGACUCGCGGCCUAUCAGCUUGUUGGUGGGGUAGUGGGCUACCAAGGCGGCGACGGGCAGCCGGCCUGGGGGGGUGACCGGCCAAAAUGGGGCUGGGAUACGGCCCAGACUCCUACGGGAGGCAGCAGGGGGGAAUAUUGCACAAUGGGCGCAAGGCUGAUGCAACAACGCCGCGUGCGGGAUGACGGCCUUCGGGUUGGAAACCGCUUUCAGCAGGGACGAAGCUUUUUGUGACGGUACCUGCAGAAGAAGCACCGGCUAACUACGUG
rnacentral:rRNA from 1 species